CUGUAGUUUUGGGUAUCAAUUUAACAUGUACGAUAACGUAUUUUUGUCUUAUAUACAGAGAUUGACGAAUGCCUUUACGAACCUUGUCAUAAUGGAACCUGCAUUGAUCUGAUCGGUAACUUUAGCUGCGAUUGUUACGAGGGAUAUACAGGAUCUUAUUGUGAUGUUGAGAUUGACGAAUGCCUUUACGAACCUUGUCAUAAUGGAACCUGCAUUGAUCUGAUUGGCAACUUUAGCUGCGAUUGUUACGAGGGAUAUACAGGAUCUUAUUGUGACGUCGAGAUUGACGAAUGCCUUGACGAACCUUGUAAUAAUGGAUCGUGCAAUGAUCUCAUCGGCAACUUCAGUUGCGAUUGUUACGAGGGAUAUACAGGAUCCUAUUGUG